GAUGAAGGCGAGAGCUACGGUGGGGGCGCUGGGGUUGAGGUGAAGUGAAGGAAAGGAGGAAAAAAAAUGGUCUUCCACAUAAAUUUAAUAGAAUUCAGUCAAGAG
rnacentral:lncRNA from 1 species